rnacentral:rRNA from 1 species
GCAUGCCUACACCAUAGCGUUAAUGCAUCGGAUCUCAUUAUAACUCCAUAGUUAAGCAUGCUCAUGCUAUAUUAGUACUAGGAUGGGUGAUCGCCUGGGAAGUACUAGUGUUUUACAUGGC